ACAAAAGUACUGGAGCGAAAAUAAAAAAUUAGAAGAUGAAUCCUUAAAAAUUUUCUUUCCUGACUACCCACCGUUGUCUAAAGCUGUGGCAAGAGAUAUUUCAGACUUCCUUGGAAACUAUUUCUGGAGACAAAUACCUAAGAGAUACAGAAAGUCUAUUUUAGUAGUGCAUUACUUUGGGCAGACAGGCAAAAACACUCAGACCAGCCAUAACUUGAGUCUGACAAGAGCCUUGAAAACUGCAUCUUGACAGACUUCCCAGAUGACCAGGAAAGUCGGUGAAGGACUUUCCAGAUUGUGAUGUUGACCACAGAAGGCACUGCAGUCCUGAGAUGUGACUUGAGGAGAUCAUCACCAGUUAAACACACCCCCCAUGCUCCUGUUUGAGCUCUCUGUGCAGACACAAAACAGUAUCAGUGUCCUUGAGAAGCUGGGGACUUGUUUUCUCUGAGGACAUGAUGUACUGCUGUGUCUCACCUGACCUGAAGUGAGAUAAUUUAUUUCAGAUAAUUACCACCCUCAAUAGCCCUGAAUGCAGCCUUGUACCUUUUCCAGGUGGGCUGUGGGAGAUUUUGGACUUGGAUAUCUUGGACUUGACUACCAAAUUUUUGGCUCUAGAAUUGGCCAGUGUGAGCAGCCGUCCCCCUAAGACUUCCCAAAAUUCUGAAGGCAUUGUAAAAGUUGUAAUCCAAGCAGGACUGUUGAAAGAUGUUCAGUGGGAAAAUCUGCAUCUGAAAAUAUGCUAAUAUAUUAAUAUUCUAAUGUACUGAUUUUUUUUUCAAUUAAAUGAUUCAUGCUAAAAAGUAUUUCUCAUCAAUUGGAAACAAUAUGCACUUCCUUUCAAAUCAGAAG
rnacentral:lncRNA from 1 species